rnacentral:rRNA from 1 species
ACCACGGUCUUGCCUAGUACGGCGAGUGAAGCGGCAACAGCUCAAAUUUGAAAUCUGGCCCUAGUGGUCCGAGUUGUAAUUUGUAGAGGAUGCUUUGGGUGCGGUGCCUUCUGAGUUCCCUGGAACGGGACGCCAGAGAGGGUGAGAGCCCCGUACGGUUGGACACCUAGCCUAUAUAUAGCUCCUUCGACGAGUCGAGUAGUUUGGGAAUGCUGCUCUAAAUGGGAGGUAUAUUUCUUCUAAAGCUAAAUACCGGCCAGAGACCGAUAGCGCACAAGUAGAGUGAUCGAAAGAUGAAAAGCACUUUGAAAAGAGGGUUAAAUAGCACGUGAAAUUGUUGAAAGGGAAGCGUUUGCGACCAGACCUUUUCCGGGCGGAUCAUCCGGCGUUCUCGCCGGUGCACUUCGCCCGGUUUAGGCCAGCAUCGGUUUUCUUAGGGGGAUAAAGACCAGGGGAACGUAGCUCUCUAGGGAGUGUUAUAGCCCCUGGUGUAAUACCCUUCGGGGGACCGAGGACCGCGCUUUUGCAAGGAUGCUGGCGUAAUGGUCGUCAACGACCCGUCUUGAAAACGGGACCAAA